GGCGAGCACGUCUCGAUGGGAUGAUGUCCGCUCCCGGCCGGCGCGCUCCGAGCGGGAAUACCGCUGGGAACGAAGUGCACGCUUUACAUUUGAUGCGUCUGCCGGAGAAUCGGGGUCCGCUUGCCGCCUCCCUUUCAACCAGCUGUUCGGUUUAACCAGCGCGUUUCCAACUUUUGCUUUGCAAUGCCUGAUGGCCGGUCGAGCCGGGAGAACUAGCACGGGGUUUUUAGGACCAGCUAAAAAAAGCCCGUACCCUUCGCUGUUCAACUACCACGUAGGAUUGGCGAGUCGCGCUUUCCAAAGAGCCGUGUAAAGACCCUAGGGUUUUUUUUAGGGAUUGCAACGUUUUUGGAGUCCUGGUGGACUGGAGUGCACAGGACGGUGAUUUCUUCUGCGCUGUGAAGCGGAGGGGCAGCGCGUGCGUUGCAGCCCUGCUCGGCAGCGGGAAGCAGGCUGGAAGUGAGCUGCUGUGAAGUGGCUCCAGCGCAGCCAGGGAGAGCGAAAGGAGCUGCUGUUGCAAUUAGUCGAAUGCUUUGAUAGAUAAGAGCAGACAUGCUUUGUGGACUGAAAAAGGAUUUGCAGUCAGACUUUGAUGAUGGCCCCUACUCGAAGGGGAGCAAGGACUCUGGUGGGAUGGAUGCGACUCUGGUCUCCAGAAGGCAAAGCAUUCCAGAGGAGUUCAGAGGGGUCACCAUCGUAGAGCUGAUUAAGAAGGAAGGAAGCACCCUCGGAUUAACUAUUUCGGGUGGCACAGACAAAGAUGGAAAGCCCAGAGUCUCCAACCUGAGGCCAGGAGGACUAGCAGCAAGAAGUGACCAGCUGAAUGUUGGGGAUUACAUCAAGUCGGUGAAUGGCAUUAACCUAACCAAGCUGCGGCAUGACGAGAUCAUCAGCCUGCUGAAAAAUGUGGGCGAAAGGGUAGUACUAGAAGUAGAGUAUGAACUUCCGCCAGCCGUGCCAGAGAGCAGUGCUGGCAUUAUUCCCAAGACCAUCGAAGUGUCCCUGUACAAGGAAGGCAACAGCUUUGGCUUUGUGCUGCGAGGGGGAGCCCACGAAGACUGGCACAAGUCCCGACCGCUGGUUCUCACCUACGUGAGGCCAGGUGGCCCAGCAGACAGGGAAGGGUCCUUGAAAAUGGGGGACAGACUGCUGAGCAUUGAUGGGAUUCCUCUGCAUAGCGUGACUCAUGCCGAUGCCCUCAACAUCCUGCGUCAGUGCAGCCAGGAGGCCCUUUUCCAGAUUGAGUACGAUGUGACCAUCAUGGAUACUGUAGCAAAUGCUUCAGGUCCUUUACUAGUGGAGAUAGCCAAGACCCCGGGCUCAACGCUGGGAAUCACGCUGACAACAGCCAUGCACCGAAACAAGCAGGUCAUUGUCAUUGACAAGAUCAAACCGGCCAGCGUGGUGGACAGAUGUGGUGCAUUGCACGUUGGUGACCAUAUUCUCUCCAUUGAUGGCACGAGCACAGAGCACUGCUCUUUAUUAGAGGCAACUCAGCUUUUAGCUGCCACUUCAGAAAACGUCAAGCUGGAGAUAUUACCUGUUCACCAAAGCAGGCUGCCUUUGAAGCCUCCAGAAACAGUCAAAGUGCAGAAGAGCGACCAUCACCACUGCUGGGACCCCUGUGUCAACUACUGUCACACCCACCACCCUGGCCACUGCAAGACACCCACUUGGAACCAGACGCCUAGCCAGGAUUACUGCAAAUCUCUGGUUGCUGCCAACUUCUCGUCUCCCACCAUGAAUGCGCAAGGCUUCCCCUGCCAGAACUCAAAUACGCUACCUCGCAGCUCCCAUCCCAUGAGCCCCCGCACCACCAUGAUGAGGAGGAGACAGAAAAAGAAGGAGCACAAGAGUUCGUUGUCGCUGGCCUCUAGCACGGUGGGUCCUGGCGGGCAGAUUGUCCACACGGAAACGACAGAGGUCGUUCUCAGGGGAGACCCUUUGAAUGGCUUUGGACUUCAGCUCCAGGGAGGCAUCUUUGCUACUGAAACCCUGUCUUCCCCACCUCUCGUCCGUUUUAUUGAGCCUGACAGCCCGGCAGAGAGAUGUGGGCUGCUGCAAGUAGGAGACAGAGUUCUUUCUAUCAACGGCAUUGCAACCGAAGAUGGGACCAUGGAGGAGGCCAACCAGCUUUUGCGUGAUGCUGCGCUCUCUAACAAAGUGGUGCUUGAAAUUGAAUUUGAUGUUGCAGAGUCUGUCAUACCCAGCAGUGGUACUUUCCAUGUUAAAUUGCCCAAGAAAAGAGGUGUGGAGCUUGGAAUUACAAUCAGCUCAGCAAGCAGAAAGACAGGAGAGCCUUUGAUCAUCUCUGACAUCAAGAAGGGCAGUGUUGCGCAUAGAACUGGCACCUUGGAGCCGGGAGACAAGCUGUUAGCCAUUGAUAACAUCCGACUCGACAAUUGCUCCAUGGAGGAUGCUGUGCAGAUUUUAAGGCAAUGUGAAGACCUGGUCAAAUUGAAGAUUAGGAAGGAUGAAGAUAAUUCUGAUGAGCAGGAGACAACUGGUGCCAUUAUCUACACAGUAGAGCUGAAGCGGUAUGGUGGUCCCUUGGGAAUAACCAUCUCCGGGACAGAGGAACCUUUCGAUCCUAUCGUCAUUUCGGGGUUGACUAAGCGUGGUCUGGCAGAAAGAACUGGAGCCAUCCAUGUCGGUGACCGGAUAUUAGCUAUUAAUAACGUGAGCCUCAAGGGCAAGCCGCUGAGUGAAGCCAUUCACCUACUCCAAAUGGCAGGAGAGACGGUAACGCUGAAGAUCAAGAAACAGACUGAAAAACCCUAUCCCAAGAAAUCUGGGAGUAUAAAUGAAGUGAGUGACCCAGAAGAUGAACUGACAGACUCCCAGAAAACUAGCAAGCUGUCUGAGAUUUACUCUACCACAGUUCCUAGUGUGGACAGUGCUAUGGAGUCCUGGGAUGGCUCAGGCAUUGAUGCUGGCUAUGGAAGCCAAGGUACAUAUGUGCCUCAAGCUGCUGGCAUAGCCCUUCAUCCGCAUGAAUGGAGACAUAGCAGGCAGAAGAACAGCACCCCUCCGGGGGAUCCCAGGAAAAAUUACCCCUACAUGGAUGGCAGCUUCAGUGAAGAUGACUGGGACAAGCCCACCAGAUACCCCAACCGCCAAAAUGGCCUAGAGACCACUCACGAGGAUAGUUUUUGGCGUGUUUUUGGAGAAGCUUUGGAGGAUUUGGAAACAUGCGGCCAGUCUGAACUUUUGAGGGAGAUUGAGGCAUCCAUCAUGACGGGGAGUGUGCACAACCUGGGCCUGGAGGGUAGCAAGCUGCUCAUGGACUCUGUCAGCCAGUCGGGACUGAGCCCACUGAGGAAAGCAAACUCCAGCUGUGAUGAAGGACAGAAUGAGGACAUCAGCUCCCCUGCCAAGAAGAAUGAGAGGAAUCUGGACAUGAAGAAAAUUGAGAAGGAGAUGCAGGAAAUCAUGGCCCCUACCCCCCUUGAGUUUCACAAGAUGACGCUCCACAAAGACCCAGAGAGUGAAGACUUUGGAUUCAGCGUGUCAGAUGGCCUGUUAGAAAAAGGUGUCUAUGUAAAUAUGGUCCGUCCGGAUGGACCAGCAGAUCAGUGUGGCCUCAAGCCAUAUGACAGAGUCCUUCAGGUAAUAAAUGCAAAAUGCAGUUCUGGAGGCUGGGACGGAGUGAAUGAGUGGCUGAGAGGAAGAGAGAAGUGAGAACCAUCCAUGGCAACACUAACUUUAAUGAAAGGUAAUAGUUAGCCAACUAGGUGAGCACCUAGCCACCAAGCUCUCAAUGAGACCUGUAUUUUAUAAUAAGAAAUCACUAGAUAGCAGAAGUGGUUUGAACUGUAGACUACACCUAUUCCAGGGAGCAUUUCCAUACAGAGCCGAUCCCAGUCCUGUUCUUUUUGAACUGUGGCAGCUCAAAAAAUAGACAAACAAAAAGCCUUGUUGCUUUCCCCCUCACCCUGAGUCCAUUCUUCUGUUAUUUAAGAGGGUAAUUUUUUGGAUGAACCAGACUGUGUUGACCAAUAUUUGUUCCUGUGUAGCCCCCUGUGGAAUUAAGUGCUGUCCACUGAAGUUCUUUGCAUGCAUUUGACAACUCAAGGAGUUUUCUAGGAAACGUCCUUCAAGCAAAGUGUUUUUCGUGGAUAUUUUUCUUCGAAAGAUACUUGAUCUGAAAUGACUGAUGCAGAAACCGAAUAAAAACUCUGGUCAAAAGCACAGUCUGUAGUAAAUAAAACCUGGGCAUAUCUAACUACCUUAAGGAGAGUAAGAGCAGGAUGAGUUUCAGAGAUUGGAGAGGAACUUUACAUGGAUGGGGAAAAAAGUAUUUUAUCUUUAGGGCAACUCAAAUAGCGAACGAGAAAGUACAAACCAGUGGAAAAAUUGCCAUUUGGAAAUGUAGAUCUUGUGACCAUAUUUGGAAACAGUCAGAAGGAUGUUUAGUUUUACUAAUUUCUGAUGGGGGUUGCUAGCAGUAGGAGUAGAGCCAAUAUAUUAUGUACAUCAGGUAACUGGAGGACUGGCAGCACUGUGGGAAACCUUGUUUAAGCUUGUUAUGGUCUCUAGCCAGUUGGCUGCUAUACAAUUAUUCCUUCUCGGCUUCAAAUAAAAGAUGGUGCAAGAAUGAACAAGAAGCUAAUUAGGCUCUGGGCUGCCUUUCUGUUGAAUGUUGGACGUGUCGCUCUUUGUAAGUGCCAAGUGCUCUGGGAGGUGUGCCCGAAAUCCUAAAUGGAGCAGAGCAGAGACUUUUGAGAGCCCCCGCUUCCACAUGCUGCACCGCACGAUUUACACCUACGAGAGGACACAGCAAUUGUCAUCACGUUGACGUGCACGGCUGCGCUGAAUGAGGGCUUUGCAGACCUGGCGCAGGCACCUCCAAGCAAGAAGCACAGCGAUGCAUUGCUGAGGACGCUUCGCUCUGCUGCUAACUGUGGGCACGACGAUCUGCCCGCAAGCAAGCUGCAGCGCUGAAGGCUAGCGAAACCCCGCGUCCCUGCUAAUAGACCCUGUGCCCCUCGGCUAGAUGGAUUAGCUGGAGCGUGGUAUUGCGCUAAUGUGACUUCUGCACUGGAGCUGCCUGCCUGGCAUAGAGCAAGCUCGUGUCUUGUCUCUCCUUGUUCGCAUGUGAUCUGGAAGUUGCCAUUAGUCACGUCUCUGUGAACCGCGUCCGCACCAGGGACUUUGACUGCUGCCUGGCCGUCCCGCUGAUUUCUGAGGCUGGAGAUAAGCUGGACCUGGUG